UCUAAACCGGUUCCAAAUUAGAGGGGAACAAUGAAAAAAUGCAGUGGAACUGGUUUCGAGGUCCAGAGUUGAGUUUGUGGUGUGGCGGGUCACCGGAAUCACUGCCCAUUCUCUUGUGUGAUUAAACAUUUUUGGGAUAUAUAAAUGUACCUCUUGUACAUCCAAUGGUGCUUUGACAGGACCCAUGGUUAAGACGAUGCCCUUGUUGUCACAUGGAGGACAGUCCCUUUUAACGGAGUGUAGUAGAGGAAGAGAGGGUCUACCGAUGAUGUCUUUACACUUGCUCAUUGAUUCCUCUGCCUGGUAUGAAAAGGAACAUUCAUUUACUCGUACAUUAAUUAAAAUAUUUAAGAUGCUUUCUCAGCUCAGCAGUCUUUGUGGCAUUAAACAAAUGAGACACUUGUACUGUAAUUGAGUGACUUGUUUAAUGAGUCAAUAUCGUUGUUCUUUCAUGUAACAUGCAAAUUCACUUCCGGGAUCAGUUUGCCAAUAUAAGAGUACAGUUGAGGGAAGAAUGAUGUCUGAAUAUUACUAAAAGAACAGUGAGUCUGAUGUUGGAUUUGGUCUGUGUUUAACUGUAAUAUGGGAUAUGGACAUGAUAGCAUUUCAUUGUUUACCGAUCUAGUUAGGCACUAUUUCACAUGACCACAUUAUCAGUCUCCAGGCUGCACCCAUUAAAAGGCUGCCUCUCGUUUAAAGAGGACUAGGAUAUAAGCCUUUCCUUGGGUGAUGGGUUGAGAUGGCAGUGCUGGCUCUUUGUCUGGGCUAAGUGUGUCCUGAGGGCAUCAUUAAACAACCACAGUGUGUUCUACAAGUGCUCCUGGACCCAAGGGACAACACUAACUAGCUGGAUUUAUAACGUGUUUACAUCUCAUGGAGGAAUACUAAGCCCACCAAAAUAAUGCCCACGCCAUCACGACUGAGAAUCUGAAACCUUAAUUAACACACCUUUGCUAGCCUGAGUGCCAGAUCUGUUUGUACUGUUUCUGUUUGUACUGGGAUUUUUGCAGAUUAAUUCUCCACACGUCUGCUCCUGGGGGAAGUAAGUUUAGGAUGUUGUUGAGACAGGACUUCAAAGAUAUCUUCAUCACCUUUCUUACCUAAUAAAUAUCAGUUGGUUUAUGCUCCAUAAUGACAGAACUGACCUUGAUUUGCAUUUUUAUUUUACCGUUUCAAAGCAGGAGUCCUUGGUCUUUCCGGUCUUCAAAGGAGAUCCAUUGUAUUUGUUCUUGUGCUUUUGAAUUGAACUAUUAAGAAAACUGUGGGAGAUGGAGACCAACUCCCAACUUCCACAAAUGACCCAAGACGACCAAAGCUCAAACCAACCAACCCACCACAACCAUCAGCAAACUGUAUCCCAUAUACACAACCAGGUCAAAGACUGAGAACAGCCAAACCAUUCUCACCACCACGGUCCCACCAGGAAGAGACUACUACAAUAAAGACCGUAGAAAAUAAGUAUUCCCUACAUCCCAGACUGGGGGAUAAUACUCCAAAGCUCAAGAUUACAUCACAAACAUCUCCUCUACACUCAAGACUGAGAGAAACAAUACCGAAGAAGAUAUUCUGAACGUCACCCCUUCUUUCAAGAAUGAGAUAGUGAACUAUAGUGAGGAUCACAUUAUAGAUGUCUUCGCUACAUCUCAGAGUGAAAGUAGCUUGAUUUACCACGACAAUACAGAUGUCAUACCAACAUCUCAGAACAAUGGAAACAGUAAUGAAGAUGUCAGUAAUGUAGAAUUCCCCAAAAUCAAGACUGACAGAGACUCUACCUUCCAGACA